rnacentral:ncRNA from 1 species
CUUUCGGAGAGUUUGAUCCUGGCUCAGGACGAACGCUGGCGGCGUGCCUAAUACAUGCAAGUCGAGCGGACUGAUGGGAGCUUGCUCCCUGAUGUCAGCGGCGGACGGGUGAGUAACACGUGGGUAACCUGCCUGUAAGACUGGGAUAACUCCGGGAAACCGGGGCUAAUACCGGAUAGUUCUUUUCCUCGCAUGAGGAAGAGUGGAAAGGUGGCUUUUAGCUACCACUUACAGAUGGACCCGCGGCGCAUUAGCUAGUUGGUGAGGUAACGGCUCACCAAGGCAACGAUGCGUAGCCGACCUGAGAGGGUGAUCGGCCACACUGGGACUGAGACACGGCCCAGACUCCUACGGGAGGCAGCAGUAGGGAAUCUUCCGCAAUGGACGAAAGUCUGACGGAGCAACGCCGCGUGAGUGAUGAAGGUUUUCGGAUCGUAAAGCUCUGUUGUUAGGGAAGAACAAGUGCCGUUCAAAUAGGGCGGCACCUUGACGGUACCUAACCAGAAAGCCACGGCUAACUACGUGCCAGCAGCCGCGGUAAUACGUAGGUGGCAAGCGUUGUCCGGAAUUAUUGGGCGUAAAGCGCGCGCAGGCG